rnacentral:rRNA from 1 species
GGGGGACAAAAGAAUCGCCUAUAUAGUGUGCGCCUGUCUCAAAAAGAGUGAUAGCACCGCACACAAAUGUUGAGCGCGUGAGUAAAGCGCCCGACGCACCGAGUAAUGUGGGAUAACGCACCGAAAGUUGUGCUAUUACCGCAUACACUCUGAGGAGGAAAGCGGGGGACCUUCUGGCCUCGCGUUAUUCUAGCGGGCGACAUCUGAUUAUCUAUUAGGUGAGGUAAAAGCUCACCUAUGCGACAAUCACUAUCGGGUCUGAGAGGAUGAUCCCCCCCACUGGGACUGAGACACGGCCCACACUCCUACGGGAGGCAGCAGUGGGGAAUUUUGGACAAUGGGCGCACGCCUGAUCCACCCAUGCCGCGUGUCUGAAAAAAGCCUUCGGGUUGUAAAGGACUUUUGGUCACAGGGGAAGGAGAAUCUCCUCACGGCUAAUACCCUUUGCGGAUGACAGGUACCUGAGAAAUAAACACCGGCUUAACUACAUGCCACCAGCCGCGCUAAUACAUAAGGGUUGCAAAGGCGUUAAAUCCGCAAUAACUGGGGCGUAAAGCGUGCGGCACGCGGGUAGAUAAACGCAGAUGUGAAAUUCCCCGAGCUCAACUGGUGAACUGCGUUUGGAACUGUGUAAACUAGAGUGCGUCACAGAGGGGGUGGAAUUCCCCGUGUAGCAGUGAAAUGCGUAGAGAUGCGCAGAAAACACCGAUGGCGAAGGCAGCCCCCCUGGGAUGACACUGACACUCAUGCACGAAAGCGUGGGGAGCAAACACGAUUAGAUACCCUGUGUAGUACCACGCCCCUAAACGAUGUCAACUAGCUGUUGGUGGGUUAGAAUCCCUUGGUAGCGCAGCUAACGCGUGAAGAUUGACCCCCCUGGGGAGUACGGCCGCACAGGUUAAAACUCAAAGGAAUUUGACGGCGGGGCCCGCAGCCAAGCGCUGGAAUGAUGUGGAUUAUAUUCGAUGGCAACGCCGCAAGAAACCUUUAUCCUGCUCCUUGACAUGUAUCGGAACAUCGUCCAGAGAAUAGCCUGGUGCCCGAAAGAGAACACGUUAACACAGGUGCUGCACUAGCUGUCGUUCACGACGUCCUUGUCCUGGAGAUAGUUGGAUUAUCAGUCCCGCAACGAGCGCAACCCUUGUCAUUAGUUGCCAUCAUUAAGUUGGGCACUCUAAUGAGACUGCCGGUGACAAACCGGAGGAAGGUGGGGAUGACGUCAAGUCCUCAUGGCCCUUAUGAGCAGGGCUUCACACGUCAUACAAUGGUCGGUACAGAGGGUUGCCAAACCGCGAGGUGGAGCUAAUCUCUUAAAGCCGAUCGUAGUCCGGAUUGGAGUCUGCAACUCGACUCCAUGAAGUCGGAAUCGCUAGUAAUCGCAGGUCAGCAUACUGCGGUGAAUACGUUCCCGGGCCUUGUACACACCGCCCGUCACACCAUGGGAGUGGAAUCCGCCAGAAGUGGGUAUGAGUAUUCCUGUACAGGAGCCGGCUUACCCAUGAGUAUGCUGCAUGUUCAAGGU